rnacentral:pre_miRNA from 1 species
UGGGGGAGGCCGGAUCCUGGGCUGUGUCCCGGCGCCCUGUGCUCCGGGGCCUGCGCUGCUGGAUUCGCGCUCCCGCCCCGCAGCCCCCU